UGGGGAAUUUUGGACAAUGGGCGAAAGCCUGAUCCAGCAAUGCCGCGUGUGUGAAGAAGGCCUUCGGGUUGUAAAGCACUUUUGUCCGGAAAGAAAUCCUUGGCUCUAAUACAGUCGGGGGAUGACGGUACCGGAAGAAUAAGCACCGGCUAACUACGUGCCAGCAGCCGCGGUAAUACGUAGGGUGCAAGCGUUAAUCGGAAUUACUGGGCGUAAAGCGUGCGCAGGCGGUUUGCUAAGACCGAUGUGAAAUCCCCGGGCUCAACCUGGGAACUGCAUUGGUGACUGGCAGGCUAGAGUAUGGCAGAGGGGAGUAGAAUUCCACGUGUAGCAGUGAAAUGCGUAGAGAUGUGGAGGAAUACCGAUGGCGAAGGCAGCCCCCUGGGCCAAUACUGACGCUCAUGCACGAAAGCGUGGGGAGCAAACAGGAUUAGAUACCCUGGUAGUCCACGCCCUAAACGAUGUCAACUAGUUGUUGGGGAUUCAUUUCCUUAGUAACGUAGCUAACGCGUGAAGUUGACCGCCUGGGGAGUACGGUCGCAAGAUUAAAACUCAAAGGAAUUGACGGGGUCAUAGCUGUUUCCU
rnacentral:rRNA from 1 species